UACGUAGGGGGCAAGCGUUGUCCGGAAUCAUUGGGCGUAAAGAGCGUGUAGGCGGUCCGGUAAGUCGGCUGUGAAAGUCCAGGGCUCAACCCUGGGAUGCCGGUCGAUACUGCCGGACUAGAGUUCGGAAGAGGCGAGUGGAAUUCCCGGUGUAGCGGUGAAAUGCGCAGAUAUCGGGAGGAACACCUAUGGCGAAGGCAGCUCGCUGGGACGUUACUGACGCUGAGAAGCGAAAAGCAUGGGGAGCGAACAGG
rnacentral:rRNA from 1 species